UUUGCUGGUAUAAAGUAGAGAAACCUAGCCGGGAUGUACAUGCGCCAUUUUAAGCAGCUGCCCGCCCGCACGCCACUCUGACUGACCGAGCCCGACGCCGAACACAAACACACUUUUCACGCUCGCAUUUUCACAUUUUUCAACAUGGCUAAAGCUAAGUCAUCUUCCACCGCCGAGAGACGAGUUUCCCUGCGCCUCUUAGCGAAACCAAAGCCUAAACCAACAGUGGUCGCCACGAAGAAAGCGGCUGCAAAGAAGACACCCAAAGAAAAGAAGACCAAGGCAGCAGAGAACGGCAACACCAAGACUGAGGAGGCAAAGGCCGAAGCCACCUAAUCCACAUGAAGGAACCUUGGCGUGCUCCCUCACCCUCCCCCGUGUACUUGGUGAUUGUACAGUUUGAAAUAAGUAUUUUUUACCAAGUUUUAUAUUACAAAUGUCAUUUAUAGGUUUGUCUUGCACUUGACGUAACAAAUGGUGUGUCCUCACAUUCAUAUCUAUUUUGACACCGCCGUCCGUUCCCCGUAGCCGCCCGCCCCCCUCGUGUUUCCCCUCUUAAUGCUUUUUUUUUUAACUGCUGAACAUUAGAUAUUUCUGCACAUGUUGGAUUUUGCAGUCUGAUUGUUUGUUUUUUUUGUUUCUUUCUUUUGGAUAUUAUAAGGCAGCUACAGCAUUAUUUGAGAAAUGAAGACACAGUUUCUGUUUCACUGCUUAAGUAAUAAAGUCAUUGCUUAAUGAUUUUGAAAUGCUAGAUUACAAGAUCUAGUCCGUUUUCUUUAAUGCCAGCAGGAAAAAAAUCCCAGAAAAAGCAUGUAUGAUGUGGACUCAAUCAUCCUAUUAAGCUAUGUUCAUUUUUUAUCACUCCAAUUGUUAAUCUAAAUGUUACUGAAUAAACAUUUUUUUUAA